AUCGAACGCUGGCGGCGUGCCUAAUACAUGCAAGUCGAACGCAGUGGGGACGGGUGAGUAACACGUGGGUGACCUCCCGUCAGAGGGGAUAACACUUGGAAACAGGUGCUAAACCGCAACUGAUGUAUGGUCCCGCGGGGCAUUAGGUCGUUGGUGAGGUAACGGCUCACCAAGGCGACGAGGCAUAGACGACCUGAGAGGGUGAGCGGCAACACUGGAACUGAGACACGGCCCAGACUCCUACGGGAGGCAGCAGUGGGGAAUCUUCGGCAAUGGACGAAAGUCUGACGGAGCAACGCCGCGUGAGUGAAGAAGGUUUUCGGAUCGUAAAGCUCUGUUGUUAGGGAAGCGUUACCGAACCAGAAAGCCACGGCUAACUACGUGCCAGCCGCCGCGGUAAUAC
rnacentral:rRNA from 1 species